CCUACGGGCGGCAGCAGUGAGGAAUAUUGGUCAAUGGACGAGAGUCUGAACCAGCCAAGUAGCGUGAAGGAUGACUGCCCUAUGGGUUGUAAGCUUCUUUUAUAUGGGAAUAAAAUGUUCCACGUGUGGGAUUUUGUAUGUACCAUAUGAAUAAGGAUCGGCUAACUCCGUUCCAGCAGCCGCGGUAAUACGGAGGAUCCGAUCGUUAGCCGGAUUGAUUGGGUUUAAAGGGAGCGUAGAUGGGUUGUUAAGUCAGUUGUGAAAGUUUGCGGCUCAACCGGAAAAUUGCAAUUGAUACUGGCAGUCUUGAGUACAGUUGAGGUAGGCGGAAUUCGUGGUGUAGCGGUGAAAUGCGUAGAUAUCACGAAGAACCCCGAUUGCGAAGGCAGCUUACUAAACUGUGACUGACAUUGAGGCGCGAAAGUGUGGGUAGCAAACAGGAUUAGAUACCCCAGUAGUC
rnacentral:rRNA from 1 species